rnacentral:rRNA from 1 species
AUUGAACGCUGGCGGCAGGCCUAACACAUGCAAGUCGAGCGGGGUUUUCGGACCUAGCGGCGGACGGGUGAGUAAUGCGUAGGAAGCUACCCGGUAGAGGGGGGUACCAGUUGGAAACGACUGUUAAUACCGCAUAAUGUCUACGGACCAAAGUGUGGGACCUUCGGGCCACAUGCUAUCGGAUGCGCCUACGUGGGAUUAGCUAGUUGGUGAGGUAAUGGCUCACCAAGGCGACGAUCCCUAGCUGGUUUGAGAGGAUGAUCAGCCACACUGGAACUGGGACACGGUCCAGACUCCUACGGGGGGCAGCAGUGGGGAAUAUUGGACAAUGGCGCAAGCCUGAUCCAGCCAUGCCGCGUGUGUGAAGAAGGCCUUCGGGUUGUAAAGCACUUUCAGUAGGGAGGAAGGGUGUUGUGUUAAUAGCGCAGCAUUUUGACGUUACCUACAGAAGAAGCACCGGCUAACUCUGUGCCAGCCGCCGCGGUAACAC